rnacentral:lncRNA from 1 species
UGACAGACAUUUUGCCCUGCCCUUCUAUACUGAUGUUGUCCUCAUAAGACUUAAAAAAUCCCAGGUGACAGACUUGAUUUCAGAUCUCUGGGGAGUUUUGACUUUUAUGGCAGCUGUGGUGCUGAUAAAAUCAAGCAAAGGAAGAUUUGUCUUCCCAAAGAUUGUUUUUGGCUUUCAGAUAUCACUGUGUCAGCUGCAAUCCAGCAGGAUCAGCUCCACUACAACAGGACUUUAUCCUUCAGAAGGAAGUGUGGGGUGUGCCGUAACUAUGAAUAACUUACUGAGCAGUGAAAGGUGGAUACAUCAGCUGUUCUGCAGCACAGGCAUCACAAACAGACACUGCAUGAUCAUUAGGGAAAAUGUUAUAAAGAGCAGCACAAGGCUGAUCUUUGAAGAACAGAGAAAACUGAUCAAAAAUCUGCAUCAAGAAAGAGCACAAUGCACAAUGGAAUAGCUUUUCAUGUUCCCAUCAAGAAGAAAAGGAGUGUUAUUCACUCAGAAAAGGAACUAAAACCUUUGCAACAGAAAAGAACACAUUACAUGAAAAAUGAGAUGGACAGUAUAUCAAGAUAAAAGGAACCUGCUGUGCACAUGGGAAUAAAGGAAGCAACUGGUACCA